rnacentral:lncRNA from 1 species
AAAAACUUGCUGGUUUUACGGCUCAGGGGGCAUCACGGAACCUGCCGACAUGUGAUGUCUCCCCCGGACACCCAGCUUUAAAAUUUCUCUCUUGUACUCUUUCCCUUUAUUUCUAGACCGGCCAACACUUAGAGAAAUAGAAAAGAACCUAUGUGAAAUAUCGGGGGCUGGUUUCCCCUGAUAGUGAAGGAGACAGGUUAGAUACACUGGAGCUUCCACACAGGAGAGAGGGAAGGAGCUGGAGAAGAAGGUGAGUUGGAAGAUUUGGGGGUUUUGUUUUUAAGUGAGAGAGCUUUGAAUAGGUUUAAUGCUGAUGGUGGGGAUCCAGUUAAGAGAAACACUGAAAAUUAACUAGAGGGAAAGGUAACUGACAGUAUAGAGUUCCUAAGAACCCAAGCAGUAAAUUCUAGCCUAGCUGGGGGUGGAGUGUGAAGAAGUGAAGAACCUUUUUUAUUUUUUUUUUAAUGGGCUGGGUGUGAAGCUACAUUUGUAGUUUUGUGGCAGGAAGUUCCCUUACUGUAACUUCUAUAUUUUCUGUGAAGCAGAAGACAAGAACUCUGUUCAAAGUUAGGGAGAUGAUAGAUUGAGGGCUAGAAGAGUAAGGCAGGCUUGAAACAAUCAUUGUCACGAAUGGGAGUUGACCAGAGAUUAGUAACGUUGCUGGGCCAUGUGUAGGGGCCCAUUUGAAACCAGCGAUUACAAAUGUGCAGUGGUUCCAGGCCGUGCGGCUGUGUGAAUCUACCUGAUGACCCUCGGCUGCUUGGGUACUGCCAUGGAUAGCGCAUGUGUUGGCUUUGUCCAGCUUUGGGCUUUUUCCCACAUUGAUUUUAAAAAGACAGGAGCCACAGAUUUUGGAGUACUGCAAAAUGACUUUCCAAAUUGAUGAACCAUGGACUCCAAGCUGGAUAGACACAGAAAUGAAAAGAAGGGACUAAUAGGGAAUAAGACGUGUGAUCCAUGGCCCGAUGGCCCUGAUGGACGUGAAGAUCCACUGUUGUGGGAGGAGUGGAACACUAACACUGAAUGAUGGAGGCUGUGGUCAGAAACAGGAUCACGCCUGAAGAAAUGCUGCUGAUGUCUAUGUCACAGUCCUUUCUGUCUUACCCAUGAACCAAGUGAGAAGACAGCAUUGGCCAGCAGUUUUUACUAUUUCUCUUUAACUCACGUUUGGACUUUAAACUUCCAUCUGCCUCUCUCUCCUACUUUCACGGUGUCUGGAAUGUUUUCUCAAUGCCAACAAUCAAUUCUCUGAUUCUCCAGACACCAGCUGGAUGUCCUACAUUCAAUUCUAACACUAUCUACCUGGAGUUAGCACAGACCUCACAGGUUAAGGGUUCAUUCCCACAAGACCCCCACAACUUCAGAUGUUGGUUGCAAGGCCUGGCUGCCUGCACUUCUGACCCACUGGCUAUAAUUCAGGGGUUCCUGCUGGAACUGUAAUAGGUCCAUCACCAUCACCCAAUGCAGGCAUUAAGUCAGUACACCGAGACACCCGGUUGCGCAGAGAAAGAGGUAUUAUCGUGGAGCCACCAAACAACAAGACAGGAGGAAACCUUCAAAUCCAUCUCCCCAAGGAGUUUGGGGCUCGGGCUUUUUUUUUUUUUUUUUGAGACGGAGUCUCGCUCUGUCGCCAGGCUGGAGUCCAGUGGUGUGAUCUCAGCUCACUGCAACCUCCGCCACCCAGGUUCAAGCGAUUCUCCUGCCUCAGCCUCCUGAGUAGCUGGGAUUACAGGCGCCCACCACCACACCUGGCUAAUAUUUGUAUUUUUAGUAGAGACAGGAUUUCCACCAUGUUGGCCAGGAUGGUCUUGAUCUCCUCACCUUGUAAUCCACCCCGCCCGCCUUGGCCUCCCAAAGUGCUGGGAUUAUAGGCCUGAGUCGCCACGUCCAGCCUGGGCUUGGGCUUUUAAGGGUUUUGGAGUGGGCGGAAGUGUGGAGAUGGUGGAUUGGCUGAAUAGUGCGGUGUGAAGUCAUGGGACAGGAAGAUGAAGAAGCUGUAUUCUCACACUGAUUUGGUUCCUCUGUGGGGGUCUUCAAAGCGGUUGGUUGCAGCUGCUUCACUGGAAUUCAGGGUCUCAGAAAAACAUCUUAAGCAUCCUCAAACAAAAGUCUUAUGAUUCUAAUGUCAGAGAUGCUGUCUAUAGGAAUAAUGGGAAUGCAAAUGGUCGGUGUCAGGUGCUACGAGACUUUAAGCAAUGAGGAAGGGGCCAGAGAGCAGCCUGAUAGAUGCUGAAUUAUAACCGUGUUUCAUUCUUGUCAAUGCUGUGGGGAUGCCUUCCUCACAACUUCCUCCUCAGGUUUCAUAACAUGUUAGAAUCAGUCACAGAACUCAGGAACACACUUUACUUACAUGUGCAAACUUAAAUAAUACAACUAAGGAACAGCCAGAUGGAAGAGAGGCAUAGGACCAGGCGUCGGGGAGGGGCACGAGCAGCCCUGCCACAUUCCGGGCACCAGCCUUCCAACACCGAUGUAUUCACCAGCCUGGAGUUUCUAUACAGCUCAAUCUCCAGCUUCCCCUUUCCCUUGCAUGAGGCAAAGGUCAGGGACAGAGUGAAAGUUCCAACCUUUUAAACAUUAGUCUUUCUGAUGACCAGCCGCAUCCUGAGUAUCUAGGGGCCACACGCUAGAUCACCUAAUUAGCAUAAACACAGGUGUGAUCAAAAGGAAUUCAUUAUGAAUAACAAGACUCCCAUCAGGCCUGGCGUGGUGGCUCACACCUGUAAUUCCAGCACUUUGGGAGGCUGAGGCGGGUGAAUCACUUGAGGUCACGAGUUCCAAGACCAGCCUGGCCAACACAGUGAAACCUCAUCUCUACUAAAGAUACAAAAAUAAAUUAGCCAGGCAUUGUGGCAGGCACCUGUAAUCCCAGCUACUCAGGAGGCUGAGGCAGGAGAAUCGCUUGAACCUGGGAGGCAGAGGUUGCAGUGAGCCGAGGUCACGCCAUUGCACUCCAGCCUGGGUGACAGAGCAAGACUCUGUCUCAAAAAAAAAAAAGACUCCCAUCACUCAGGCAAUGCCAAGGGUUUAGGGAACUCUGUGCCAGGAACAGGGACAAAAACCAGAUACAUAUAUAUAUAUAUACUUUUUAAAAAUAUAAUUUCAACUUUUAUUUUAGAUUUGGGGGCAUAUGUGCAGGUUUGUCUCAUGGGUAUAUGGCAUAAUGCUGAGGUUUGGUGUAUGACUGAUUCUGUCACCCAGAUAGUGAGCAUAGUUCCCAACAGUUAGUUUUUCAACCCUCGCCCACUCCCUCUCUCCUCCCGCUAGGAGUCCCCCAGUGGUGUUUUUGCCAUCUUUAUGUCCACGAGUACCCAAUGUUUAGCUCACACUUAUCAGUGAGAACACGCCAUAUUUGAUUUUUCUCUUCCUGCAUUAAUUUGCUUAAGAUAAUGACCAAAUCUAUUUCUUAUUAUACCACAGAUAUAUAUAUAAAUCCUGUAGCUAAGGACUCAUCUUUGUACCGGUAGGCAGUAUUUACAAUGCACGCAUCAAGUCAGUACACCAAGACAACUGGUUGCAGCAGAGAAAGAGGUUUAAUCAUAGGGCCACCAAACAAGAAGACAGGAGGAAACCUCAAAUCCAUCUCCCCAGAAAGUUUGAGAUUAGGGAUUUUUUUUCAGUAGCUGAAUAUAACUGGCCAGUGCAGAAGAGCCUAUGAAGGUGGAAAAUGGAGGAAGGAGGACCCCAUGCUGGAGAAGUGAUGGAGAUUUGAAGCCUUGGAAGAUGGCGGCAAGGGAGAUGCCAGAGAUGAGACAAUGUUAAACAUCUGUAAUCUAACAGUCUUCUAUGGGAGUUUAUUACAUUUCCAUAUCCUAUGUUCACUUCUAGUGAAAAAUAAAAAUAAAAUCUUAAGCCCCCCACAGCUGACUAAAUGGAUCCCAUUGUGAAAGGAAAAUAUCUUGAGCCUCCAAAAUCACUAAGGAAAAUUCAAGCUGGAAACUUCUUAGGACAAACCUGCCUCCCAUUCUCUUCAAAGUUAUUCCUCUGCUCGAGGAGCUAGAUGCAUAUCUGAUUGCCGCCUUUGGAAAGGCUAACCAGAAACUCAAAAGAAUGAUACAGUUUGUUAUCACCUACCUGUGACCUGGAAGCUCCCUCCCUCCCCACUUGAGUCUUCCUGCUUUUGUUUCAAGCUGUCCUGCCUUUCCAGACCAAACCAAUGUACUUCUUACGUAUAUUGAUUGAUGUCUCACUCAUGUCUCCCUAAAUCGUAUAAAACCAAGCUGUGCCCCAACUACCCUGGGCAUGUGUCAUCAGGAUUUCAUGAAGCUGUGUCACGGGCGCAUUCCCCAACCUUGAAAAAAUAAACUUUCUAAAUUAACUGAGACCUGUCUCAGAUUUUCUGGGUUCACAUUGUUUUCGUCAAGGGGACUCCCCAAGUAACUUUGAAAACUGAGUUCUAGGCUGUGAGGGGAUGGGAGGUCAGAGGUCAGACGCACCUUGCUGCACACCUCCACCUCGCUAACCCCCUUAGGCUUUCUUCCCUAGGGGCUAAACAGAAACCAGCUCUUUCCUUUUUUUUUUUUCUUUUUUUUUAGAGACGAGUCUUGCUCUGUCACCCAGGCUGGAGUGCAGUGGUUCGAUUUUGGCUCACUGCAACCACCACCUCCCAGGUUCAAGCAAUUCUCCUGCCUCAGCUUCCCAAGUAACUGCAACUACAAGCACAUGCCACCAUGCCCGGCUAAUUUCUUUUGUAUUUUUAGUAGAGAUGGGGUUUCACCAUGUUGCCCGGGCUGGUCUUGAACUCCUGAGCUCAGGCAAUCUGUCCGCCUCAGCCUCCCAAAGUGCUAGGAUUACAGGCAUGAGCCACUGCACCCAGCCAAAACCAGCUCUUUCAAAAGACUCCAGUGCUGAUAUCAACAACUGCCUGAGGCUUCCCCACCCUUUUGCAGUUUCCACAUAACAAUUAACCAGCAUUCCCUCCUGAUAAGAGACAACACCCCGCCCGCCGACGCAGAGCGGUUCUGGCCAGUCUUCAGAGGCUGCACACAGAGAGCCUGCGUGUCCCUGCUUUGUCUUUCGAUGUAAAAGGCCUAACUGUCAUGCAUUGAAAUGUGAAGUCUCCAGCCCAAAGUGAACAUGGGACACAUGCUGCAUGCAUGUUAGCCUGCUACACAUGCAUGAUCCUCUUCAUGAAUAUUCAUAGCUCCUCCUGUAAUCUGUUGAAUAUGUAUACUUAGCCAAC